rnacentral:miRNA from 1 species
UGCGAGUUAAUGAGUGUCUGAAAUUCAGACACACUUAUAUUCUAUUGCGAGCUAUACGGGUGUCCGAAUUUCGGACACUCCUAUAUUAUAUUGCGCGCGAGUUAUAUGGGUGUCUGAAUUUCAGACAGCCAUAUAACUCGCAAUAGAAGAUAAGAGUGUCUGAAAUUCAGACACCCAUAUAACUCGCA